ensembl:misc_RNA 7SK 7SK RNA
GCAUGCAAGGGCAAUCUGGCUGUAACAUCUGUCACCUCAUUGAUCGCCAGGGUUGAUUCGGCUGAUCUAGGUGGGUAGGCGGGUGUUCCCUGCCUCCCUCUCCAUUCCAUGUGAAUCCCUUCUGAAGCUGCAGACUGGGUCAGAGAGGAUGACCUUGCCCAGCAAAGGAGGACUGUUCUUAGAUCAAGGAUAUCUGAGUAGCUACGCUUCCCUGGUAGAACCUCCCAACAAGCUCUCAAGAAUGUGUAUCUUUUGCGUUGAUUACAUUUUACAUUCCAAAAAGUGAAUAUUUUGUGAAUAUUAUGUUAAGAUUU